GAUAUAAAACCUAAUAUUAUUUGUUUACUUCCCGAUUUCCUCUUCCGCCAAACCCAUCGCCGACACCACCACCGUCCCUCUCCCUCUCGCGAUUCUCUCUACUCGAUCCCGACCUUCUCAUCUCCUCUGCCCAUUUCCUUUUCCUCAUUUUGCCCUAGCAUCUGCCGAUACCGUCGUCGCCCGAUGCUCCGCGGCGAGUCUUCGCUCAAUGGCGCGUGUCUCCUGCCGAUGUCGCGUCGCGUGUCUCCGGCUGAUGAUGGCUGCCACGAGCCCCACCACCGACAGCGUCGGCCAUCACGAGAGCCAUCCUUUCCUCCCUUCAACUACCGGGUCGUGCCCUAGCACCGCCCCUCUCUUGAUCCUAAGACCAUUGCCGCACCGCACCCCACCGAUUGGCCAUCGUCGAGCCAUCUCCAUGCCCUAGUUGCCACCAUCAUCAAGCUUUUGUUCCAGUAUGAGGUCAUCAUCCAUUCCACUGCCGGUAGCUCCUCCCCGCCUCAUUCAUCCACAAUGGCUGUGGGGAUAUCAUUGUGAGCAGAUUGCUAACCUCACCUGCUCACUGUCGUUGGCGUUGAGUGCGGUUGCCAAGGAUUCAUUGUAGGGAAGGGAGUGCCCGAAGAAGAUCUUUGGUUGUGGUGAUCCCUGGUGGUGUGGAGGAUUGGUGUUGGAGAUAUGGACUGAGGACACUGAUACGAGACUAGUGUUCUGAAGUGAAGAAAGUACAACAUGAUCUACAGUUAAAGG